rnacentral:rRNA from 1 species
UACGUAGGGGGCUAGCGUUGUCCGGAAUCAUUGGGCGUAAAGCGCGCGUAGGCGGCCAGAUAAGUCCGGUGUGAAAGUCAAAGGCUCAACCUUUGAAUGCCGCUGGAAACUGUCUGGCUUGAGUCCGGAAGGGGCGAGUGGAAUUCCUGGUGUAGCGGUGAAAUGCGUAGAGAUCGGAAAGAACACCAACGGCGAAAGCACUCUGCUGGGCCGACACUGACACUGAGAGACGAAAGCUAGGGGAGCGAAUGGG